UACGAAGGGGGCUAGCGUUGCUCGGAAUGACUGGGCGUAAAGGGCGCGUAGGCGGCUUGUAUAGUCGGAUGUGAAAUUCCUGGGCUCAACCUGGGGGCUGCGUUUGAUACGUGCGGGCUUGAGUGCGGAAGAGGGUCGUGGAAUUCCCAGUGUAGAGGUGAAAUUCGUAGAUAUUCGCAAGAACACCAGUGGCGAAGGCGGCUCACUGGCCCGAUACUGACGCUGAGGCACGAAAGCGUGGGGAGCAAACGGG
rnacentral:rRNA from 1 species